rnacentral:tRNA from 1 species
UUGGGAGAGCGUUAGACUGAAGACCUAAAGGUCCCUGGUUCGAUCCCGGGUCACGGCA